UACGUAGGGUGCAAGCGUUAAUCGGAAUUACUGGGCGUAAAGCGUGCGCAGGCGGUUGUGUAAGACAGAUGUGAAAUCCCCGGGCUCAACCUGGGAACUGCAGUUGUGACUGCAAAGCUGGAGUGCGGCAGAGGGGGAUGGAAUUCCGCGUGUAGCAGUGAAAUGCGUAGAUAUGCGGAGGAACACCGAUGGCGAAGGCAAGCCCCUGGGCCUGCACUGACGCUCAUGCACGAAAGCGUGGGGAGCAAACAGG
rnacentral:rRNA from 1 species